rnacentral:rRNA from 1 species
UCCUACGGGACGCAGCAGUGGGGGAUAUUGCACAAUGGGGGGAACCCUGAUGCAGCGACGCCGCGUGGGUGAAGGAGCGUUUCGGCGCGUAAAGCCCUAUCGGCAGGGAAGAAGAUGACGGUACCUGACCAAGAAGCCCCGGCUAACUACGUGCCAGCAGCCGCGGUAAUACGUAGGGGGCAAGCGUUAUCCGGAUUUACUGGGUGUAAAGGGAGCGUAGACGGCGAUGCAAGUCUGAAGUGAAAGCCCGGGGCUCAACCCCGGGACUGCUUUGGAAACUGUAUGGCUGGAGGGCUGGAGAGGCA